rnacentral:rRNA from 1 species
GAUGAACGCUGGCGGCGUGCUUAACACAUGCAAGUCGAACGAAGCAUUUGCGACAGAUUUUUUCGGAAUGAAGUUGCUUAUGACUGAGUGGCGGACGGGUGAGUAACGCGUGGGUAACCUGCCUUGUCUUGGGGGAUAGCAGCUGGAAACGGCUGGUCAUACCGCAUAAGCGCACAAUGUUGCCUGCCAUGGUGUGAAAAACUCCGGUGGUAUAAGAUGGACCCGCGUCUGAUUAGCUAGGUGGUGAGAUAACAGCCCACCAAGGGGACGAUCAGUAGCCGACCUGAGAGGGUGACCGGCCACAUUGGGACUGAGACACGGCCCAGACUCCUACGGGAGGCAGCAGUGGGGAAUAUUGCACAAUGGAGGAAACUCUGAUGCAGCGACGCCGCGUGAGUGAAGAAGUAAUUCGUUAUGUAAAGCUCUAUCAGCAGGGAAGAUAGUGACGGUACCUGACUAAGAAGCUCCGGCUAAAUACGUGCCAGCAGCCGCGGUAA